UACGUUCCCGGCCUUGUACACACCGCCCGUCACGUCACGAAAGUCGGCAACACCCGAAGCCGGUGGCCUAACCCGUAAGGGAGGGAGCCGUCGAAGGUGGGGCCAGCGAUUGGGACG
rnacentral:rRNA from 1 species